UUUUUAAAAAAAACCAACGGCCAGGAGUUGGGGAUUUGAUUAGGGAACUCUAUCAGUUUUCUAUUAUUUAGUUUUUUUUCAUUUUAAUUCUUUUUUAGUUUAUUUUUGUUUAUACAUUUAAGUUAUCAUUAAAAUGACAAUUAGUUAGUAGGUGGUCUAGUGGAGGGGGGUUGGUUUCUAGAUCUUUAGUGUAGUGGGUUCGAUACUCUUAGGUGUAGUUUUUCAUUCUUUUAAUAUUUCUUUUAUAUUUAUGCUUUAC
rnacentral:lncRNA from 1 species